AUCCGCAUCUCCUCCGCAGCCGCCGCACUCCCAUGUCCUCCUCCGCCGCCAGCCGCGGCGGCCGCGAAGCCUCCGCCGCCAACCCGCCGCGGCGGCCUCCACUCCUCGUCCGCCAUCCCGCUGCGGCGGCCAGGACCCUGCCUCCGUCAUCCAGGCGCGGCUACAACCUCUCAUCGACGUCUCCUACCCUGGCGGCCGAGGUCCCUCCUCAGAUCGAGCAGCCAGCCGUGUCACCACCCGCGCCUGCUGCUGCUCCUUCUGCAAUCCAGCGGCGGGAAGGGAUCCAGGGCCUGCACGCUGCACAAGGACUACACGGCGCCCGCGCCGCCCGCCUCCGCGAGGUGCGAGCGGAAGGGCCUACCGGCCACGGCGCACGGCUCCACUUUGGCAAGGCGUGGGUGGAAGGGCAGGCAGCAGCAACAGCGAGCCCUCCACCACGAUAACACCUGUUCUCUGUGCAAUUCCCUUGAUAUGUUAAAGUGGUCAUGGGCAAGAGCUUGAGUUUCCAUGGUAAACUGAUGGUGGCUUCAGUUCCUUGAUCAUGGAGAAAUAGUAUGAACUCCGAGAAAUGUUGGUUAUCAGAAAGAUGACACCACCACCGUACGUGCACAGGACGCACGACGGCACGAGUUCCCCUUCUGCUGUCCUUUGCUACCUGUGAUGUGUGAAGAGCAAGCAAGGAGACACGUGAGGGACGGAGGAGCCGCAGCUUCAAGGAACAGGCAGCUAGAGAGAUUGGUCGAUGAUAAGACUCUGCUGAAGGAAGCAGAAGGUGGAAGCGUUUUUUAUUUGUUUUUCAGAAUUGUGAGAUGUUUUGCUAGACUAACUAGAGUUACACUGAUUUCAUGCUGAACUGAAAAACUUUGAUGUUGUAUCAUGUAUGUAUGUGAUGAGUUGUUGGAUUAGAAUGUAUGCUAGUUUAUAUCUUGAUUUGGGUUGAAAUGAUAAUGCAUUGAAUAGAAAAACGGGCUGUAUUUUAAUGGCCCAUAUGUAAAAUGGGCUCAGCUUUUUUCAUGAGUAGAAAUUUAAUUGGGCCAUAUGCAAAUGGGCCCAAA